GGGUUGUGAGGUUAAGCGACUAAGCGUACACGGUGGAUGCCCUGGCAGUCAGAGGCGAUGAAGGACGUGCUAAUCUGCGAUAAGCGCCGGUAAGGUGAUAUGAACCGUUAUAACCGGCGAUUUCCGAAUGGGGAAACCCAGUGUGAUUCGUCACACUAUCAUUAACUGAAUCCAUAGGUUAAUGAGGCGAACCGGGGGAACUGAAACAUCUAAGUACCCCGAGGAAAAGAAAUCAACCGAGAUUCCCCCAGUAGCGGCGAGCGAACGGGGAGGAGCCCAGAGCCUGAAUCAGCAUGUGUGUUAGUGGAAGCGUCUGGAAAGGCGCGCGAUACAGGGUGACAGCCCCGUACACAAAAGCGCAUGUGCUGUGAGCUCGAUGAGUAGGGCGGGACACGUGGUAUCCUGUCUGAAUAUGGGGGGACCAUCCUCCAAGGCUAAAUACUCCUGACUGACCGAUAGUGAACCAGUACCGUGAGGGAAAGGCGAAAAGAACCCCGGCGAGGGGAGUGAAAAAGAACCUGAAACCGUGUACGUACAAGCAGUGGGAGCACCCUUCGGGGUGUGACUGCGUACCUUUUGUAUAAUGGGUCAGCGACUUAUAUUCUGUAGCAAGGUUAACCGUAUAGGGGAGCCGGAGGGAAACCGAGUCUUAAUUGGGCGUUAAGUUGCAGGGUAUAGACCCGAAACCCGGUGAUCUAGCCAUGGGCAGGUUGAAGGUUGGGUAACACUAACUGGAGGACCGAACCGACUAAUGUUGAAAAAUUAGCGGAUGACCUGUGGCUGGGGGUGAAAGGCCAAUCAAACCGGGAGAUAGCUGGUUCUCCCCGAAAGCUAUUUAGGUAGCGCCUCGUGAAUUCAUCUCCGGGGGUAGAGCACUGUUUCGGCUAGGGGGCCAUCCCGGCUUACCAACCCGAUGCAAACUGCGAAUACCGGAGAAUGUUAUCACGGGAGACACACGGCGGGUGCUAACGUCCGUCGUGAAGAGGGAAACAACCCAGACCGCCAGCUAAGGUCCCAAAGUCAUGGUUAAGUGGGAAACGAUGUGGGAAGGCCCAGACAGCCAGGAUGUUGGCUUAGAAGCAGCCAUCAUUUAAAGAAAGCGUAAUAGCUCACUGGUCGAGUCGGCCUGCGCGGAAGAUGUAACGGGGCUAAACCAUGCACCGAAGCUGCGGCAGCGAACGUAUCACCCAAGACAACUUUACGGAGUUGACGAUUGACGGAGCGAAGCGACGUCAAAGCGUUCAUUAAAGUCGAGUUGGCUUAGGGAUACGUUCGUUGGGUAGGGGAGCGUUCUGUAAGCCUGUGAAGGUGUGUCGUGAGGCAUGCUGGAGGUAUCAGAAGUGCGAAUGCUGACAUAAGUAACGAUAAAGCGGGUGAAAAGCCCGCUCGCCGGAAGACCAAGGGUUCCUGUCCAACGUUAAUCGGGGCAGGGUGAGUCGACCCCUAAGGCGAGGCCGAAAGGCGUAGUCGAUGGGAAACGGGUUAAUAUUCCCGUACUUGGUGUUACUGCGAAGGGGGGACGGAGAAGGCUAUGUUGGCCGGGCGACGGUUGUCCCGGUUUAAGCGUGUAGGUGUGUGUUCCAGGUAAAUCCGGUUCACUUUAACACUGAGGCGUGACGACGAGGCACUACGGUGCUGAAGCAACAAAUGCCCUGCUUCCAGGAAAAGCCUCUAAGCAUCAGGUAACACGAAAUCGUACCCCAAACCGACACAGGUGGUCAGGUAGAGAAUACCAAGGCGCUUGAGAGAACUCGGGUGAAGGAACUAGGCAAAAUGGUGCCGUAACUUCGGGAGAAGGCACGCUGACACGUAGGUGAAGUGAUUUACUCAUGGAGCUGAAGUCAGUCGAAGAUACCAGCUGGCUGCAACUGUUUAUUAAAACACAGCACUGUGCAAACACGAAAGUGGACGUAUACGGUGUGACGCCUGCCCGGUGCCGGAAGGUUAAUUGAUGGGGUCAGCGUAAGCGAAGCUCCUGAUCGAAGCCCCGGUAAACGGCGGCCGUAACUAUAACGGUCCUAAGGUAGCGAAAUUCCUUGUCGGGUAAGUUCCGACCUGCACGAAUGGCGUAAUGAUGGCCAGGCUGUCUCCACCCGAGACUCAGUGAAAUUGAACUCGCUGUGAAGAUGCAGUGUACCCGCGGCAAGACGGAAAGACCCCGUGAACCUUUACUAUAGCUUGACACUGAACAUUGAGCCUUGAUGUGUAGGAUAGGUGGGAGGCUUUGAAGUGUGGACGCCAGUCUGCAUGGAGCCGACCUUGAAAUACCACCCUUUAAUGUUUGAUGUUCUAACGUGGACCCGUAAUCCGGGUUGCGGACAGUGUCUGGUGGGUAGUUUGACUGGGGCGGUCUCCUCCUAAAGAGUAACGGAGGAGCACGAAGGUUGGCUAAUCCUGGUCGGACAUCAGGAGGUUAGUGCAAUGGCAUAAGCCAGCUUGACUGCGAGCGUGACGGCGCGAGCAGGUGCGAAAGCAGGUCAUAGUGAUCCGGUGGUUCUGAAUGGAAGGGCCAUCGCUCAACGGAUAAAAGGUACUCCGGGGAUAACAGGCUGAUACCGCCCAAGAGUUCAUAUCGACGGCGGUGUUUGGCACCUCGAUGUCGGCUCAUCACAUCCUGGGGCUGAAGUAGGUCCCAAGGGUAUGGCUGUUCGCCAUUUAAAGUGGUACGCGAGCUGGGUUUAGAACGUCGUGAGACAGUUCGGUCCCUAUCUGCCGUGGGCGCUGGAGAACUGAGGGGGGCUGCUCCUAGUACGAGAGGACCGGAGUGGACGCAUCACUGGUGUUCGGGUUGUCAUGCCAAUGGCACUGCCCGGUAGCUAAAUGCGGAAGAGAUAAGUGCUGAAAGCAUCUAAGCACGAAACUUGCCCCGAGAUGAGUUCUCCUGAGACUUAGAGUCUCCUGAAGGAACGUUGAAGACGACGACGUCGAUAGGCCGGGCGUGUAAGCGCAGCGAUGCGUUGAGCUAACCGGUACUAAUGAACCGUGAGGCUUAACCUUACAACGCCGAAG
rnacentral:rRNA from 1 species